rnacentral:rRNA from 1 species
GACGAACGCUGGCGGCGUGCCUAAUACAUGCAAGUCGAACGAACGGAUAAAGAGCUUGCUCUUUUGAAGUUAGUGGCGGACGGGUGAGUAACACGUGGGUAACCUGCCUCACAGCUGGGGAUAACAUCGAGAAAUCGAUGCUAAUACCGAAUGUGCUGAACAUCAUAAGAUGUUCAAGUGAAAGACGGUUUCGGCUGUCACUGUGAGAUGGACCCGCGCUGGAUUAGCUAGUUGGUAAGGUAAUGGCUUACCAAGGCGACGAUCCAUAGCCGACCUGAGAGGGUGAUCGGCCACAUUGGGACUGAGACACGGCCCAAACUCCUACGGGAGGCAGCAGUAGGGAAUCUUCGGCAAUGGACGAAAGUCUGACCGAGCAACGCCGCGUGAGCGAAGAAGGCCUUCGGGUCGUAAAGCUCUGUUGUUAGAGAAGAACAUGGGUGAGAGUAACUGUUCACCCCUUGACGGUAGCUAACCAGAAAGCCACGGCUAACUACGUG